UACGAAGGGGGCUAGCGUUGCUCGGAAUCACUGGGCGUAAAGGGCGCGUAGGCGGCUGAUUUAGUCGAGGGUGAAAGCCUGUGGCUCCACCACAGAAUUGCCUUCGAUACUGGUUGGCUUGAGACCGGAAGAGGACAGCGGAACUGCGAGUGUAGAGGUGAAAUUCGUAGAUAUUCGCAAGAACACCAGUGGCGAAGGCGGCUGUCUAGUCCGGUUCUGACGCUGAGGCGCGAAAGCGUGGGGAGCAAACAGG
rnacentral:rRNA from 1 species